rnacentral:rRNA from 1 species
UAGUUUGAUCCUGGCUCAGGACGAACGCUGACGGUGUGCUUUAGACAUGCAAGUCGAACGAGAAAGCCCUUCGGGGUUAGUAAAGUGGCGAACGGGUGCGUAACACGUGGGUAAUCUACCCCUCGCAGAGGGACAACCGGAGGAAACUCCGGCUAAUACCUCGUACGCUCUACAAACCGCAUGGUAAGUAGAGGAAAGGUAGCUUCGGCCAUCCGGCGAGGGAUGAGCCCGCGGUACAUUAGCUAGUUGGUGAGGUAAAGGCUCACCAAGGCUACGAUGUAUAGCUGGUCUGAGAGGAUGAUCAGCCACACUGGGACUGAGACACGGCCCAGACUCCUACGGGAGGCAGCAGUCGGGAAUCUUGCACAAUGGGCGAAAGCCUGAUGCAGCAACACCGUGUGAGCGAUGAAGGCCUUCGGGUCGUAAAGCUCUGUUGUUGGGGACGAAGGGCGAAGGGUUAAUAGCCCCUAGCUUGACGGUACCCUUCGAGGAAGCCCCGGCUAACUACGUGCCAGCAGCCGCGGUAAUACGUAGGGGGCGAGCGUUGUCCGGAAUUAUUGGGCGUAAAGAGCGUGUAGGCGGCCUGAUAAGUCUGCUGUGAAACCUUGGGGCUUAACCCCAAGCGUGCAGUGGAUACUGUUAGGCUAGAGGAUGGUAGAGGCGAGUGGAAUUCCCGGUGUAGCGGUGAAAUGCGCAGAUAUCGGGAGGAACACCAGUAGCGAAGGCGGCUCGCUGGGCCAUUCCUGACGCUGAGACGCGAAAGCUAGGGGAGCGA